GGAGAGAUGGCCGAGUGGUCGAAGGCGCUCCCCUGCUAAGGGAGUAUGGGAGGAAUCCCAUCGAGGGUUCGAAUCCCUCUCUCUCCGCCA
rnacentral:tRNA from 1 species